GCCUGGGUGGCUCGGUGGGUUAAGCGGCCGGCUUCGGCUCAGGUCAUGAUCCGGCAGUCCGUGAGUUCGAGCCCCACAUCAGGCU
rnacentral:tRNA from 1 species